CAGAGUUGCAAAACUCCCUAAACCAUUGUGAACGUUACCUUCAAACCGUUGCUUCGGCGGGCGGCACCGGGUCCGCCCUGUGCCCCCUGGCCCCCCAGCGGGCGCCCGCCGGAGGAAACCCAACUCUUGAUACAUUAUGGCCUCUCUGAGCCUUCUGUACUGAAUAAGUCA
rnacentral:misc_RNA from 1 species